GUCUCUAUAGCUCAGUGGUAGAGCAUGCGAUUGCAGCGUCACGUGACUAUCGCAGGGUCUCGUGUUCGAACCACGAUGGGGACU